CACGUAGGGCGCGAGCGUUGUCCGGAAUUAUUGGGCGUAAAGAGCGUGUAGGCGGCUUGGUAGGUCCGCUGUGAAAACUCGAGGCUCAACCUCGAGAUGUCGGCGGAAACCACUUGGCUAGAGUCCGGAAGAGGAGAGUGGAAUUCCUGGUGUAGCGGUGAAAUGCGCAGAUAUCAGGAAGAACACCUAUGGCGAAGGCAGCUCUCUGGGACGGUACUGACGCUGAGACGCGAAAGCGUGGGGAGCGAACAGG
rnacentral:rRNA from 1 species